AACGCGAAGAACCUUACCAGCCCUUGACAUGGUCCUGACCGGUCUGGAGACAGACUUUCCUCGCAAGAGGCGGGACGCACAGGUGCUGCAUGGCUGUCGUCAGCUCGUGUCGUGAGAUGUUGGGUUAAGUCCCGCAACGAGCGCAACCCUCGCCACUAGUUGCCAGCAUGUUCGGGUGGGCACUUUAGUGGAACUGCCGGUGACAAGCCGGAGGAAGGUGGGGAUGACGUCAAGUCCUCAUGGCCCUUAUGGGCUGGGCUACACACGUGCUACAAUGGCGGUGACAGUGGGAUGCCAGGCAGCGAUGCCGAGCCGAUCCCCAAAAGCCGUCUCAGUUCGGAUUGCACUCUGCAACUCGGGUGCAUGAAGGUGGAAUCGCUAGUAAUCGCAGAUCAGCACG
rnacentral:rRNA from 1 species